AUAAGCGCACACGGUGGAUGCCUAGGCGGUCAGAGGCGAUGAAGGACGUGGUAGCCUGCGAAAAGUGUCGGGGAGCUGGCAACAAGCUUUGAUCCGGCAAUAUCCGAAUGGGGAAACCCACUGCUUCGGCAGUAUCCUGCAGUGAAUUCAUAGCUGCUGGAAGCGAACCCGGUGAACUGAAAUAUCUAAGUAACCGGAGGAAAAGAAAUCAACCGAGAUUCCCUAAGUAGUGACGAGCGAACGGGGAACAGCCCUUAAGCUGGAAUGGCUUUAGAAAAACAAUCUGGAAAGAUUGGCCAUAGAAGGUGAUAGCCCUGUAUUUAAAAGGGCCACUCCAGUGAAGACGAGUAGGGCGGGGCACGUGAAACCCUGUCUGAAUAUGGGGGGACCAUCCUCCAAGGCUAAAUACUCCUGACCGACCGAUAGUGAACCAGUACCGUGAGGGAAAGGCGAAAAGAACCCCGGAGAGGGGAGUGAAAUAGAUCCUGAAACCGUGUGCGUACAAGCAGUAGGAGCUCGCAAGAGUGACUGCGUACCUUUUGUAUAAUGGGUCAGCGACUUACUGUUCGUGGCAAGCUUAACCGUAUAGGGGAGGCGAAGGGAAACCGAGUCUGAUAAGGGCGCAUAGUCGCGGGCAGUAGACCCGAAACCGGGUGAUCUAGUCAUGGCCAGGGUGAAGGUGCCGUAACAGGUACUGGAGGCCCGACCCCACGUCUGUUGCAAAAGACGGGGAUGAGCUGUGAUUAGGAGUGAAAAGCUAAUCGAACCCGGAGAUAGCUGGUUCUCCUCGAAAGCUAUUUAGGUAGCGCCUCGGACGAAUACUAUUGGGGGUAGAGCACUGUUAUGGCUAGGGGGUCAUCGCGACUUACCAAACCAUUGCAAACUCCGAAUACCAGUACGUACUAUCCGGGAGACACACGGCGGGUGCUAACGUCCGUCGUGAAAAGGGAAAAAACCCAGACCCACAGCUAAGGUCCCAAAUUCACUGCUAAGUGGAAAACGAUGUGGAAAGGCACAGACAGCCAGGAGGUUGGCUUAGAAGCAGCCACCCUUUAAAGAAAGCGUAAUAGCUCACUGGUCGAGUCGGUCUGCGCGGAAGAUUUAACGGGGCUAAGCAGUGAACCGAAGCUUGGGGUGCAUAAAACUUGUUUUAUGCGCGGUAGAGGAGCGUUCCGUAAGCCUGCGAAGGUGGAUUGAGAAGUCUGCUGGAGGUAUCGGAAGUGCGAAUGCUGACAUGAGUAACGAUAAUGCGGGUGAAAAGCCCGCACGCCGAAAGCCCAAGGUUUCCUUGCGCAACGUUAAUCGACGCAGGGUUAGUCGGUCCCUAAGGCGAGGGCGAAAGCCGUAGUCGAUGGGAAGCAGGUUAAUAUUCCUGCACCUCGCGUGAGUGCGAUGGAGGGACGGAGAAGGUUAGGUGUACCGGGCGUUGGUUGUCCCGGGGAAAGGCGGUAGGUUUGAAUCUUUGGCAAAUCCGGGAUUCUUUAAGACCGAGCACCGAGACGAGCCUUUAUGGCGAAGUCACUGAUACCACGCUUCCAGGAAAAGCUCCUAAGCUUCAGCUCACGAAGACCGUACCGUAAACCGACACAGGUGGGUAGGAUGAGAAUUCUCAGGCGCUUGAGAGAACUCGGGUGAAGGAACUAGGCAACAUGGCACCGUAACUUCGGGAGAAGGUGCACCCUUUUUGGUGGCUCAUGCGAGCUAUAGCUGAAGAGGGUCGCAGAAACCAGGCCGCUGCGACUGUUUAUCAAAAACACAGCACUCUGCAAACACGAAAGUGGACGUAUAGGGUGUGACGCCUGCCCGGUGCUGGAAGGUUAAUUGAUGGGGUCAGCCGCAAGGCGAAGCUCUUGAUCGAAGCCCCAGUAAACGGCGGCCGUAACUAUAACGGUCCUAAGGUAGCGAAAUUCCUUGUCGGGUAAGUUCCGACCUGCACGAAUGGCGUAACGACAGCGGCGCUGUCUCCACCCGAGACUCAGUGAAAUUGAAAUCGCUGUGAAGAUGCAGCGUUCCCGUGGCAAGACGGAAAGNAGCGAAAUUCCUUGUCGGGUAAGUUCCGACCUGCACGAAUGGCGUAACGACAGCGGCGCUGUCUCCACCCGAGACUCAGUGAAAUUGAAAUCGCUGUGAAGAUGCAGCGUUCCCGUGGCAAGACGGAAAGACCCCGUGAACCUUUACUAUAGCUUUACACUGAACGUUGAGUUCGUCUGUGUAGGAUAGGUGGGAGGCUAUGAAACUGUGGCGCUAGCUGCAGUGGAGCCAUCCUUGAAAUACCACCCUGUCGUGCUUGACGUUCUAACCUAGAUCCGUUAUCCGGAUCAGGGACCGUGUAUGGUGGGUAGUUUGACUGGGGCGGUCUCCUCCUAAAGAGUAACGGAGGAGCACGAAGGUACGCUCAGCGCGGUCGGACAUCGCGCACUGUGUGCAAAGGCAUAAGCGUGCUUGACUGCAAGAUCGACGGAUCAAGCAGGUACGAAAGUAGGUCUUAGUGAUCCGGUGGUUCUGUAUGGAAGGGCCAUCGCUCAACGGAUAAAAGGUACUCCGGGGAUAACAGGCUGAUACCGCCCAAGAGUUCAUAUCGACGGCGGUGUUUGGCACCUCGAUGUCGGCUCAUCACAUCCUGGGGCUGUAGUCGGUCCCAAGGGUAUGGCUGUUCGCCAUUUAAAGUGGUACGCGAGCUGGGUUCAGAACGUCGUGAGACAGUUCGGUCCCUAUCUGCCAUGGGCGUUGGAAGUUUGAGAGGGGCUGCUCCUAGUACGAGAGGACCGGAGUGGACGAACCUCUGGUGUUCCGGUUGUCACGCCAGUGGCAUUGCCGGGUAGCUAUGUUCGGAAGCGAUAACCGCUGAAAGCAUCUAAGCGGGAAGCGCGCCUCAAGAUGAGACUUCCCGGGGCACAAGCCCCCUAAAGGAACCAUAUAGACUAUGUGGUUGAUAGGUCAGGUGUGUAAGUACAGCAAUGUAUUGAGCUAACUGAUACUAAUGAUCCGUGCGGCUUGACC
rnacentral:rRNA from 1 species